AUGAAUAUGGAAAAGAAUAACUAAAUAAAUUUGCAAUGCAAAAAUAAACAAACGAAAGAGAGAAUAACAAAUGAAAAAAUAAAAAGGCUAAGUUUUAUGUGGUUUAGCAAUGUGCCUACGUCCAUAAGUAGUCAAACGACAAAAGGCUUCCACUAACAAAUCAAGCGAAUGCAUUGAAGAAAUCCAAAAUAGAAUUGUUUAGAAAAAUCCUCUCUUAUAAACCUCACCAAAUCCAAAAUAUAAAUUGUCUUCCAAACCCUAAUUGGAACCAAACCGAAAACUCUCUCACAAACAAAGUAAUCAAAUACCAAACAAAUGGUUCAAAGAUCCAACCAAAUUGCCCAUGGAAGGCACCCAAGGAACUAUGAAGUUCAACCGAAGAAGAGAGAGUCUUUCAAAAUUAUAACUAAAUAAUCCUUCCUAAACCAAACUAAUACCCAAAGGAGUUUCUUGCCAAACUAAAAUUCCAAACCAACAAUGAAUCUAACAAAACAGGAUUUAGGAAGUCCAAAACCAAGGCAAAUUAGGACUCCAAGCUAAAACAAGUCACAUACCAAUGUGGAAACAUCCAAACGAGGCCAAAACUAAAUCAAAGCUGGAUUCAAGCCAAACUUCACAAAUCUCCACCUUGGUGAGAUACCAAUUUCUAACCCAAACACGAACGAAACUAAUCAAAACAAACCAAAUAGGCCAAAACCUUUAACUCGUCUUCAAAAACUGCCUUCAAAUCAACCCUAGCUUUAAAACAACUCUUCAUGGGAACAAAAAAAAUAACAAAUGAAUCGCUUCGUCAAACAAAUGCUCAGAACGAAUUGCACCAAAGUGCAGACCAUAAUAGAAGCAUACUAACAAAUCCGCCAAACCAAACGAAUGCUCGAGACACAUCGAGCCAUACUAACCAAACAAAACUCUGACAAAGCUCGAACCAAACAAAGAGAUUCUAGAGAGCAAACCAAACUAUAAGGGAAGCAGUGCAAGCUCUCACGAACAAACUAAACAAACUGCAGAUCACCAAAACUCUUAACAAAUUUUCAAAAUAUUGAAACAUUAAACAAAAGAGCCAAAUUUAUGAAACUUCGAGCAAACUCCAUAACCAAACAAAUGAGUCGCGAUGACUCUAAAUUUCAAGUUUCGAUAUUCAAACCAAAUUUCAAAUCCAAACCAAAUCGAAGACUCGAGGUGCAAAAUUAUCCAAACUGUCUUCAAGACCAUCCCAAAUUGCGUCCUAAAGCACAUGCACCCUUAGAGUGCCCAAUCCAAAUCGAAAUAGAAUAAGUUCAAGCAAUGGUUCAACAUAAUCCCAAAUACCAAAACUACAGUGUCAAAUAUCCAAAUCAAAUUUUUGAACUAAAAUUUGAAAACCAAGCUAGUCCUAAACAAUCUAUCUUGACCAACUUCAAAAAAAUGAAUGCAAAUUUUCAAAGAAAAAAUCAAAACCAAAGAGAUAGAACUAAUAGGAGCAAGAAUUAAUUAACGAACCAAAUUGAUACUUACCACCAAAAGAAGCAACAAUAGCAAACCUCAAACAAAGUCAAGUGAAAUAAAUAAAUAAUUGACUACUAUCCAAAACUUAACUCCAAGUUGCUUACCCAAGACACAAUGCUUACCAAAAACAAUCAAAUUCAGUGUGCUUCCCUAGCCUUUGCAAGACCUUUUCACUAAAAUAUUGCACGUACUGCUAAUCGGUAGUGUCCAAAACAAAAUUCCCAAUCUUCCUAACAAUAGUGGCUACUCCACUGGCAACCAUAUUCCCUUGAAUGGGAUACAAGUUGUUGUGCCAAUUCCUCAUCAUCGCAACCAAAGAAUACAAACAAAUGUUUAGAGCUCUACCUACCAAAGUGAUUACCAAAUCGGUGGACUAAGCUCCCAAAAAGAUGAUAUUCUGAACCAAGUCCCAGACAUACCGAACAUCAGACAAAUCAUGCAAAAAUUGAUUUUACAUAUCCCCAAAGUUUCACAGGCAUGGACAUUGCCCAUAAAGACUAUACCAGACUCCAACUCCUCAAGCUAGAAAACAAAUCCCUAUUAGGACACAUAUGAACAAGAAACUAAAAUCCACAUUUUUGAAUGGAAAACAGAUGAUGAACCCACAAGUACAAAAUCAUAAUCCACAUCCUUUCAUGACAAUUGGCAUACCAAACUUAGGGGCUCCUCUCAACUGGGGAAAAGACUUGCCCUUAACAACUAAAACAAAACGUGUCUUUAUGGGCCUACUUAUCAAGACACUACCAAACGUUUGAAGAGCAAAAGAGAAUUUUCUAAAAAAAACUCUCAAAAGCCUCACCAAAAACAAAAAUACAAAUUCUCUUCCAACCCUAAUUGGAACAAAACCAAAUAUUCUCUCACAAACAAAAGAAUCAAAGAUCCAACCAAAUCCUCCCCAUGAGGGAGACCCAAGGAACUAUGAAGUCCAAUCGAAGAAGAGUCUACCAAUUUAUAACCAAAUAAUCAUUCCUAACCAAACUAAUACCAAAAAGAGUUUCUUGCCAAAAUAAAUUCC
rnacentral:lncRNA from 1 species